AACGAACGCUGGCGGCAUGCCUAACACAUGCAAGUCGAACGAGACCUUCUGGUCUAGUUGCGCACGGGUGCGUAACGCGUGGGAACCUGCCCUUAGGUUCGGAAUAACUCCCCGAAAGGGGUGCUAAUACCGGAUAAUGUCUUCGGACCAAAGAUUUAUCGCCUUUGGAUGGGCCCGCGUUGGUUUAGCUAGUUGGUAGGGUAAAAGCCUACCAAGGCGACGAUCCAUAGCUGGUCUGAGAGGAUGAUCAGCCACACUGGGACUGAGACACGGCCCAGACUCCGACGGGAGGCAGCAGUGGGGAAUAUUGGAAAAUGGGCGAAAGCAUGAUCCAGCAAUGCCGCGUGAGUGAUGAGGGCCUUAGGGUUGUAAAGCUCUUUUACCCGGGAUGAUAAUGACAGUACCGGGAGAAUAAGCUCCGGCUAACUCCGUG
rnacentral:rRNA from 1 species